CCCAACUCUCUGUUACAUAAACGAUAUAAACCUUAAUCAAAUUUAAGACUCUAUCUCCCCUUGAAACGAUCAAAAUCAAAAAAAUCAAAUUGCCUUAAGGUCAAAGCGAUUAAAACACCACAACACAACAAAAAUAUUCAACCACACGUCUACCGUUCUUUUUCUACGUACACUAUCAGAACAAUCAAUACAAUCAUCAGUGUGAUGGAGUUUUUGGCUUUGCAACUUGAUACCCAAACCAUCAACCCACUAUACCACCCUAAUAACACUCAUUGUGAUGUCAGAACAUCACAGAACUCCUUCAUUUCCUUUAAUUUUUUUUUAUGAAAAAAGAGCAACGCACUUGUCAGAGGGGAAGUCGUCAAAUAACUAUUCUUUUGCGGCAACUUGAGGACGACGAGGAAAAACGACCGACACGACGCACGUUCGUCAUACCAGUGAGCUCAAAACAGAAGCUGAAGCUGCUAAACCUUUUCACGAAAAAACAAGUCGAAAUAUAAUUCGAUUAGGAACAACGACGUCGUCGUAUCAUCCAGAUUUAAAGAUCCAGCCAGGCGAUGGUGUAUCCUGGUGGUGGUUACAGAUUAAAUUGAACAAGAUUGUGACUGGCGAUAGUAAUCUGAAUCUCAAUGCAAGUUUUUCGGGCCACAAACAUCACGGAGGAGUUCGAAUCUGUACGGUGCGGUGAUGGAAAAUGAGGACAAUCGCAUGUGACAUCACGAGAAGAGGGUGGAUUUUUAUAUGUUUUAAGGGACGCUCGUCCUUUAUAAACGAAUAGAACAAUGAUUUGGGGUGGUCCUGAGCAAGUUUUACCGUCCGUGAUGGUGCAUGCGUCAAUCAAACCAAAGCAAAGGAAGAACUUAAUGACAAGAUUUUGCAUUGUUUUGUUUGAUCCAUCCAUCUCCCAGGAUCUCUGGCAGGACAAUGGGGGAAACUCUUGGUUUUAUUUCGCAUACAGAGAUACCGCUACUGCUGCCGCCGCCGAGUUGUAUAUGAUGACGAAAUGGAUUUUCAUUCAAAUUCAAAUGGGUGGAAAUUUAUCGUUUAUACUCUUUUUGAAUUAAAUAAAGGACACAAUCAGGAAUAAAAAAAAUUAUUAAAACCAUACAACCAACUUUUCUGUCAUUUUUUGAAUUGGUCGGUCCUCUUCGGUUGGUCCUUUUUUUUUCUCUUCAAUAUGAUGACAGCAACAGCUCCACAUAGAGAAAGAAUAGAGAGUCCUUUUCUGCCUGUAAGUGACUACACAGUGACAAGGAUGACAAUUUUGUCUUGUUCAUUGUUCCGAAUCGCAGCCAGAUAAUCCGAUUUUGAAUUAUUUAAUUAUUUUUAUUCAUACCGCAGAUUGAAAUCCUUUUGAAGAUGCAAUGGAUAAGAGACAGUUUUUUUCCAUCGUCCUGAAUUGAGGGCAGUUUUUUUUCUACUCCAAUUUUCUAAUUGUGGGAAUCAAAAAGAAGAAAGUGGUUGCAAGUGAACAUACGCCUCGAACAUAAAAUUGCAAUAAAAUUUACAUCGGUAUAUUUUUUGCAUAACAUUGGAAGGAUAUUAAUGGCAGGAUGAAAUUUGCCAUAUCGCAAUUAAGGACUAGUUCUCACAAUCAAAACUGUCAAAACAAAUCAAAAUAAAGUGUUUCGACAAGCGCCAGUGUGAGGUUAGUUCGGUGUGUGGUGUUCUUUUGGAACAACCCUUAAAUUGGUUGGGCGUUUUUGGUGUUUUGUAAUUGUGUGAUUGAAUCAUUGCUUCGGGCAAUAAAAUCUAAUUGAUUUGUCAUGCUACAAGCAACGAAGGAUGUUUUCGUUGUUAUACAGUUUAGUGUAUUACAUAAUUCAUAAUUGCUGGGAAUUUUUGUAUUCAAUUAUAAAUGCAAUGGAAAAGUU